AAUUGAGAUCUUCGGAUUUCAUGGAUUUACACAAAUGAUGUAACAAUGAAACAUCUCAUCGACAAUCAACGGAUCAUAAAACAUCAUUUCCAGAACGAUGUUUGUUAAGUCUCCAAAACUGACGUGCACAUUGAUCUAUAACAACCUACAAAUCCCACACAAACAUGGCAGGGGGAAGGGGAGGGGAGAUUAUUAUUCAUUUAAAUGCAGCAAGUCAAUCCAGCAGGGUAGGUAGAUUGGUUUUACAUGCGAGUACACCACACCAGCAUAGCUCUUAUCUAUACUGUAGCUUUCAUACAAACUGCAACUUCUUGUUGAUGGCUUCCGAUGGUAGGUGACAUUUGUAAGUCACUACUCUAUAUCACUGUGCAUUAUCACCCCACACAUCGUUCCAUGCAGCACCUGGAGCAGCCUUAGGCCCCUCAAUAAAGUUCUGAUUACCAUGAGGUUGGUGCGGACCAGGAAGUGCAUUAGCACCUGGGGGCUGAAUUUUAGGCUUUGUUUUGACCCCCAGCAGUCUCAGCACAAAUCUUGCCAGCUCUCCAUAUAAUAACCCUGAGCGAUCAAACAGCUGAAGGAGCGCUGACAUGAACAUGUGAAAUGCCUGGGUAUUUUGGUCUAUCAACAUUGCAACGCGGCCAAAGAAAGUUACAACACCUUGCAUCACAUGCAUGAAGGAGACCCAGAAGCCUGGUGGAGAAGGUGGAGCACCAUAUGGAUUAUUUGGAUCUUGGUCCCCAUAGGGUCCCAUACCCAUGCCGCCCAUACCACCCAUACCACCCAUGCCAUAACCUCCCAUUGAGCCACCAUACCCACUAUUGUACAUUCCUCCACCAUACAUGCCACCGCCUGCAAGUCCACCAUAACCUCCUCUGUACAUACUGUUUCCAUACAAACCACUUCCGUAUGUGCUUCCAUAGCCACCACCAUAAGAACCAUAUGUUCCAGUUCCAUAUCCAGAAUUAUAAUUCAUACCUGUAUUAAAACCUCCGUAUGAGCUACCGUAAGUUUGCUGCUGCUCCCAAGGUCGAGUAGGUACAGGCCUUGCAAGUGUGUUAUUAUUAACAGCUGUAUUCCUAUUAGCAGUCGAAACAAUCUCACCAGGCCUGGCUGUUCCGGAUGCCUCUACUACGUCACUCGUGUUACCAGCAGAGGGGGGCUUAAAAGGUGCAGGGCCUGAAGAAGACCCAGCUCGUUCCCAGGGUUUUGGGGGUGGGCUACUACCUGACGGCUGCGGCGGUCCGUUUUCCAUCAAUCGGAUAUAGGAAGAAGAAGAAGAGCCGCCGUCGACGACCACUACGACGGAGAGAGAAAGUAGAGAGAGAAAGAAAA
rnacentral:misc_RNA from 1 species